UUAAGCGACUAAGCGUACACGGUGGAUGCCCUGGCAGUCAGAGGCGAUGAAGGACGUGCUAAUCUGCGAAAAGCGUCGGUAAGGUGAUAUGAACCGUUACAGCCGGCGAUGUCCGAAUGGGGAAACCCAGUGCAAUUCGUUGCACUAUCGUUAACUGAAUACAUAGGUUAACGAGGCGAACCGGGGGAACUGAAACAUCUAAGUACCCCGAGGAAAAGAAAUCAACCGAGAUUCCCCCAGUAGCGGCGAGCGAACGGGGAGCAGCCCAGAGUCUGAAUCAGCUUGUGUGUUAGUGGAACGGUCUGGAAAGUCCGACGGUACAGGGUGAUAGUCCCGUACACCAAAAUGCACAGGCUGUGAACUCGAAGAGUAGGGCGGGACACGUGGUAUCCUGUCUGAAUAUGGGGGGACCAUCCUCCAAGGCUAAAUACUCCUGACUGACCGAUAGUGAACCAGUACCGUGAGGGAAAGGCGAAAAGAACCCCGGCGAGGGGAGUGAAAAAGAACCUGAAACCGUGUACGUACAAGCAGUGGGAGCACCUUCGGGUGUGACUGCGUACCUUUUGUAUAAUGGGUCAGCGACUUAUAUUCUGUAGCAAGGUUAACCGUAUAGGGGAGCCGCAGGGAAACCGAGUCUUAACUGGGCGUUAAGUUGCAGGGUAUAGACCCGAAACCCGGUGAUCUAGCCAUGGGCAGGUUGAAGGUUGGGUAACACUAACUGGAGGACCGAACCGACUAAUGUUGAAAAAUUAGCGGAUGACUUGUGGCUGGGGGUGAAAGGCCAAUCAAACCGGGAGAUAGCUGGUUCUCCCCGAAAGCUAUUUAGGUAGCGCCUCGUGAACUCAUCUUCGGGGGUAGAGCACUGUUUCGGCUAGGGGGUCAUCCCGACUUACCAACCCGAUGCAAACUACGAAUACCGAAGAAUGUUAUCACGGGAGACACACGGCGGGUGCUAACGUCCGUCGUGAAGAGGGAAACAACCCAGACCGCCAGCUAAGGUCCCAAAGUCAUGGUUAAGUGGGAAACGAUGUGGGAAGGCACAGACAGCCAGGAUGUUGGCUUAGAAGCAGCCAUCAUUUAAAGAAAGCGUAAUAGCUCACUGGUCGAGUCGGCCUGCGCGGAAGAUGUAACGGGGCUAAACCAUGCACCGAAGCUGCGGCAGCGACACUAUGUGUUGUUGGGUAGGGGAGCGUUCUGUAAGCCUGCGAAGGUGUGCUGUGAGGCAUGCUGGAGGUAUCAGAAGUGCGAAUGCUGACAUAAGUAACGAUAAAGCGGGUGAAAAGCCCGCUCGCCGGAAGACCAAGGGUUCCUGUCCAACGUUAAUCGGGGCAGGGUGAGUCGACCCCUAAGGCGAGGCCGAAAGGCGUAGUCGAUGGGAAACAGGUUAAUAUUCCUGUACUUGGUGUUACUGCGAAGGGGGGACGGAGAAGGCUAUGUUAGCCGGGCGACGGUUGUCCCGGUUUAAGCAUGUAGGCUGAUUGUCCAGGCAAAUCCGGAUAAUCAAGGCUGAGGUGUGAUGACGAGGCACUACGGUGCUGAAGUAACAAAUGCCCUGCUUCCAGGAAAAGCCUCUAAGCAUCAGGUAACAUCAAAUCGUACCCCAAACCGACACAGGUGGUCAGGUAGAGAAUACCAAGGCGCUUGAGAGAACUCGGGUGAAGGAACUAGGCAAAAUGGUGCCGUAACUUCGGGAGAAGGCACGCUGGUGUGUAGGUGAAGUCCCUGCGGAUGGAGCUGAGACCAGUCGAAGAUACCAGCUGGCUGCAACUGUUUAUUAAAAACACAGCACUGUGCAAACACGAAAGUGGACGUAUACGGUGUGACGCCUGCCCGGUGCCGGAAGGUUAAUUGAUGGGGUUAUCCGUAAGGAGAAGCUCUUGAUCGAAGCCCCGGUAAACGGCGGCCGUAACUAUAACGGUCCUAAGGUAGCGAAAUUCCUUGUCGGGUAAGUUCCGACCUGCACGAAUGGCGUAAUGAUGGCCAGGCUGUCUCCACCCGAGACUCAGUGAAAUUGAACUCGCUGUGAAGAUGCAGUGUACCCGCGGCAAGACGGAAAGACCCCGUGAACCUUUACUAUAGCUUGACACUGAACAUUGAGCCUUGAUGUGUAGGAUAGGUGGGAGGCUUUGAAGCGUGGACGCCAGUCUGCGUGGAGCCAACCUUGAAAUACCACCCUUUAAUGUUUGAUGUUCUAACGUUGGCCCCUUACCGGGGUUGCGGACAGUGUCUGGUGGGUAGUUUGACUGGGGCGGUCUCCUCCCAAAGCGUAACGGAGGAGCACGAAGGUUAGCUAAUCCUGGUCGGACAUCAGGAGGUUAGUGCAAUGGCAUAAGCUAGCUUGACUGCGAGCGUGACGGCGCGAGCAGGUGCGAAAGCAGGUCAUAGUGAUCCGGUGGUUCUGAAUGGAAGGGCCAUCGCUCAACGGAUAAAAGGUACUCCGGGGAUAACAGGCUGAUACCGCCCAAGAGUUCAUAUCGACGGCGGUGUUUGGCACCUCGAUGUCGGCUCAUCACAUCCUGGGGCUGAAGUAGGUCCCAAGGGUAUGGCUGUUCGCCAUUUAAAGUGGUACGCGAGCUGGGUUUAGAACGUCGUGAGACAGUUCGGUCCCUAUCUGCCGUGGGCGCUGGAGAAUUGAGGGGGGCUGCUCCUAGUACGAGAGGACCGGAGUGGACGCAUCACUGGUGUUCGGGUUGUCAUGCCAAUGGCACUGCCCGGUAGCUAAAUGCGGAAGAGAUAAGUGCUGAAAGCAUCUAAGCACGAAACUUGCCCCGAGAUGAGUUCUCCCUGAGACUUUAAGUCUCCUGAAGGAACGUUAAAGACGAUGACGUUGAUAGGCCGGGUGUGUAAGCGCAGCGAUGCGUUGAGCUAACCGGUACUAAUGAACCGUGAGGCUUAACCUU
rnacentral:rRNA from 1 species